rnacentral:rRNA from 1 species
CCUACGGGGGGCUGCAGUGGGGAAUAUUGGACAAUGGGGGCAACCCUGAUCCAGCCAUGCCGCGUGUGUGAAGAAGGCCCUCGGGUUGUAAAGCACUUUCAGUGAGGAAGAACGCCUGGUGGUUAAUACCCAUCAGGAAAGACAUCACUCACAGAAGAAGCACCGGCUAACUCCGUGCCAGCAGCCGCGGUAAUACGGAGGGGUGCGAGCGUUAAUCGGAAUUACUGGGCGUAAAGCGCGCGUAGGUGGCUUGAUAAGCCGGUUGUGAAAGCCCCGGGCUCAACCUGGGAACGGCAUCCGGAACUGUCAAGCUAGAGUGCAGGAGAGGAAGGUAGAAUUCCCGGUGUAGCGGUGAAAUGCGUAGAGAUCGGGAGGAAUACCAGUGGCGAAGGCGGCCUUCUGGACUGACACUGACACUGAGGUGCGAAAGCGUGGGUAGCAAACAGGAUUAGAUACCCGGGUAGUC